rnacentral:lncRNA from 1 species
AUAUCUUCGUAAUAUAUAAAGAAUAAUUUAGAUGGGUAUCAAUGCACAGUUAGUAGUCACCUCUUUUGUUUGUCUUAAUACCGUGUAUUAUAAUACCGUGAAGGACGCCUCCGGGUGUGGGAGUUUCUCGCUACAUUGAAGACCUGUUGGUGACCUUCUGCUGUUGUUUUUUUUUCUAUGGUCGGGUUGUUGUCUCUUUGGCACAUUCCCCAUUUCCAAGUUGAUAACAUGGAAUUGUUUGCGUGGUGAUAGGGAGAGCAUCAGCUGGGUCUUCAUAGCAGAGAUAACCGUCAAGUGGAAUAGUUGAUGUUUUUGUCACACAUACUUUAAAUCCAUACAUUCGGACUUCAACUACAAUGGAUAACAUACCAAUAAGAAUUUACAUGCGUGACUAUAUUGACAAACAUAUCACAAUCCUUAUAUCUAGUAUCUUUUUGCAUUAUAACACAAUAAUAAAUUGGCUUUUCAAUUGGUUUUACACGAACAACAAACUUUAUAUGUGUACAAUAACAACGAAACUUCAUUCAUUAUACUUCUAUAGUAUAAUUAUGUCCUUCUAAAACAAAAACAUUUUGAAAAAAA